rnacentral:rRNA from 1 species
GAUGAACGCUGGCGGCGCGCCUAACACAUGCAAGUCGGACGGUUAAAGCACCUUUUAGGUGUGUAUAAAGUGGCGAACGGCUGAGUAACACGUGGGCAACCUGCCCUCCUCUUGGGGAUAGCCUCGGGAAACCGAGGAUAAUACCCGAUACUUCAAUGUGGCCGCAUGACGACAUUGAGAAAGCUUUUGCGGAGAAGGAUGGGCCCGCGGCCUGUUAGCUUGUUGGUGGGGUAGAGGCCUACCAAGGCAAUGGUGGGUAGCUGGGUUGAGAGACCGACCAGCCAGAUUGGGACUGAGACACGGCCCAGACUCCUACGGGAGGCAGCAGUGGGGAAUCUUGCACAAUGGGCGAAAGCCUGAUGCAGCGACGCCGCGUGCGGGAAGAAGGCCUUCGGGUUGUAAACCGCUUUCAGCAGGGACGAGGCGAAAGUGACGGUACCUGCAGAAGAAGCCCCGGCUAACUACGUGCCAGCAGCCGCGGUAAUACGUAGGGGGCAAGCGUUAUCCGGAUUCAUUGGGCGUAAAGCGCUCGUAGGCGGUCUGUUAGGUCGGGAGUUAAAUCCGGAGGCUCAACCUCCGCCCGCUCCCGAUACCGGCAGACUUGAGUUUGGUAGGGGAAGGUGGAAUUCCUGGUGUAGCGGUGGAAUGCGCAGAUAUUAGGAAGAACACCAGUGGCGAAGGCGGCCUUCUGGGCCAUAACUGACGCUGAGGAGCGAAAGCUAGGGGAGCAAACAGG